rnacentral:rRNA from 1 species
UACGUAGGGGGCAAGCGUUGUCCGGAAUCAUUGGGCGUAAAGAGCGUGUAGGCGGCUUGGCAAGUCUCGCGUGAAAUCCUGCGGCUCAACCGCAGGCGGUCGCGGGAAACUGCCUCACUAGAGUCCGGAAGAGGAGAGUGGAAUUCCUGGUGUAGCGGUGGAAUGCGCAGAUAUCAGGAAGAACACCCGUGGCGAAGGCGGCUCUCUGGGACGGUACUGACGCUGAGACGCGAAAGCGUGGGGAGCGAACAGG